rnacentral:rRNA from 1 species
UGAACGCUAGCGGCAGGCGUUAACACAUGCAAGGUCGAGGGGCAUCGGGAGUAGCAAUACUGCCGGCGACCGGCGCAAGGGUGCGUAACGCGUGAGCAGCAUGCCCGUAUCAGGGGGAUAAUCCAUGGAAACGUGGUCUAAUACCCCAUAGUAAUUAUGUAAGGCAUCUUAUAUAAUUUAAAGCUUUGGUGGAUACGGAUUGGCUCGCGUGACAUUAGCUGGAUGGUAAGGUAACGGCAUACCAUGGCUACGAUGUCUAGGGGUUCUGAGAGGAAGGUCCCCCACACUGGAACUGAGACACGGUCCAGACUCCUACGGGAGGCAGCAGUGAGGAAUAUUGGACAAUGGAUGGAAAUCUGAUCCAGCCAUGCCGCGUGCCAGGAAGACGGCCCUAUGGGUUGUAAACUGCUUUUGUAUGGGAGCAAUAAGGGCUACGUGUAGUCCGAUGAGAGUACCAUACGAAUAAGCACCGGCUAACUCCGUGCCAGCCGCCGC